rnacentral:lncRNA from 1 species
GACAUAGCACAUAUGUGAAUUACCCUUUACAUAUCCAAAUUUGGUUGUAGGUUGUAGAAGAAAUGGCUUCAGGAGCUAUCUCUUAGUCUCUAUUAAUAUAACUCUUAAGGGCACUCCCAGCCUAAGAAUGGGUCCUUGGUGUAUGUAACUGUGGUCUUCUAUCCAAAUGUGCCCUUUUCUUAUGGAUGUAGGUCUCUUGAAGCAUACCUCAAAGUCAUGGAAAGAAUACUGCAUUUGAAAGAAGUCAUUUGCCUUGGAUCACAUGAGCUAUUUUGUGAAGCAACAGUUGUCCUCAUGGAAAAGGGGCAGCAACUUUUAUAUGCUAAAGUAUUUAAUAUCUUCCUGGGAAACCUUAUUUAGAUAUAAAUGGUCAUCUUAUUAUUUUUCAAAAAGGCGUAUUUUAAUAAUCCUACAAUUUAUAUGCAGUUUGUGACCAGAGUUUGAAAGUGGUUAGUGUCACAUCAAGGAUUUUUUAAAUUAUACCACUACAGGAUGUAUCAUUUCAAGUUUAUUUUGCACAGCUAAAGAGUAGCAAAGGAUGCCAGUUAGCAUAAUAAUUGUAUCUACAUAUUUACUAUACUUAACAGAAAACCUAACACAUACUGAAAACCAUAUCUUACUUACCGGGUUUAUCUAUUAAUUUCAAAUUAUGUACUUGUAAAAAUAACUUAAAACUGCAUUGGGAACCUGACAAAGACUGAGUGAUAACUUAAUUUUUUGUGUGAUUUUUAAAGUUGU